rnacentral:rRNA from 1 species
UGGGGAAUUUUACGCAAUGGGGGAAACCCUGACGUAGCGACACCGCGUGAGCGAAGAAGCCCUUUGGGGUGUAAAGCUCUGUCAACAGGAACGAAACAAAUGACGGUACCUGUGGAGGAAGCAUCGGCUAACUACGUGCCAGCAGCCGCGGUAAGACGUAGGAUGCAAGCGUUGUCCGGAUUUAUUGGGCGUAAAGAGUUCGUAGGCGGUUUGUUAAGUCUGAUGUUAAAGACCGGGGCUCAACCUCGGAAAUGCAUUGGAUACUGGCAGACUGGAGUGCAGUAGAGGCUAGUGGAAUUCCCAGUGUAGCGGUGAAAUGCGUAGAUAUUGGGAAGAACACCGGUGGCGUAGGCGACUAGCUGGGCUGUAACUGACGCUGAGGAACGAAAGCCAGGGGAGCAAAUGGGAUUAGAUACCCCAGUAGUCCUGGCCGUAAACGAUGGAUACUAGGCGUAGUGGGGUAUCGACCCCUGCUGUGCCGCAGCUAACGCGAUAAGUAUCCCGCCUGAGUAGUACGGCCGCAAGGUUGAAACUCAAAGGAAUUGACGGGGUCAUAGCUGUUUCCU